ensembl:lncRNA novel transcript
UUUUUAUUCAGUAUUUGAAAAAUGUGCUACUUCCUUCUGACCACCAAGAUUUUGGAUGAGAAAUCCUCUGCUGUUUAAAUCAUUUUCCCCCAGAGGGUGAGCCAGCUUCGGGAUUGCAACUGAGAAGUGGGACUAUUAAAAGAAAGUCAUGCCCAGGUGGCUCACCAAGCUGGAGAAGGGACAAGAGACCUCUGGAGCUUCGCCUUUAUAGCUGAUUGCUUUUUGAAUCCCAGCCAUCCCAGCCUCCACAGUCUGAAGCAGAAACAUCUCAUCCAAACUGCAUUUGUGUGAGCAAGAAA